AGAUGGCGAGUGGGUGCGAGUGAGAAUGAGUGGCUACAUGUUGCAAAAAAGCAAAACAUCUACAUCGAAUGCGUUGAGUGACAUGCCAACAUAACUUCUGUGUUAUUGGAGCUGUCGUCUUCAGAAAACUACUUCAAAUGACAACAACAAAAAAAAAAAAAAAACUUGAUGUCUGCCCAGGGAGAACCAAGGACAUUCAAAAAUAAGAAAUCAAGAGAUCUUGAUAUAUUACAACAAGAUGCAGAAAUGAAAAUAACUUUGAUUAUGAACUGAGAUGAACCACAAACCAUCACAAUUCUGCGGUCCUUCGACUAGAGAGGGCGCCACCCUCAAUGAGCCCCUCCCCCAAUCGGCCACGCUAUCAGACAUGUGUGUGAAUGGACCCAUUGUGUAUGUCUGGACUCAGUGCUGAGGAGCCAGGUUCAUCUCCUCCAACGAGACGUCCCAAUGGGGCACCACCCCCGCCCUCCCCCUCCCCGGUGGGUAGGGCCAGGAGUCCGACUGCGCGUGUCGCAUGUACGAGAGAAUGGACGGAUGAGUUGUGUGUGCUUGGCUGCGUGCGUGACUGGGAGUGUGCAAGGCUGGGUGAGAACGCAUGCAGUGACGGGAAAAGAUUCAAAAACAUCUGAAGACAAACAAAAAUUGAGAAACGCAACACAUUUAGAAAAGGCUUCAGGAAAGAAAUUCGGCCUUGGAAAGAGGCCGAUGCUCUUAUACCUGAAAGGAAGAACUUUGGAUAUGGAGAAUUAAAAAAAAAUCGUCAUCACAAGGAUUAUUCUUUUUGUUUUGAAUUAUUGUUAAGUUAGUAUUAAUUGACACUGGACAAUGUUAAUGGCAGGUGUGCAGCAGCAGUGCAUUGAAUUAAGAUGCUUUUGGGCUUUUCUUUUUGCCUCCAUUGUAUUCCUUUUAUGUUUUUUAUUUUCAGCUAUUAGUUUCACCGCUUGUGUAAAGGUAAAUGAUGACGAUCAUAUUCCAUCCUUCCACCUGAAUCCUAACCUGAACACCAGACAUGGGCUUGAUGCUGUGAAAUUCUGACAUCACUAUAAUCAACCAAAUGACAUGUUCCUCUUGUAACUCCUCAUUUAUUUACUUUUAAUUUUACAGCUAAAUCAGUGCUUUGCAGUUUUGUUGCCAUAGCUUUGAUUAUCACCAAGGGAGAAGAGAACAACGGCCAUGUCGUGUAGGAUUGUGAUUCAUAACCUUUGCAUGUACUAAACUAUAGCACAGUAAUUUUUUAGGGUAUUUUAGUUUCCUUAGGCUGUGGAUACAGUGUAAUUUUCAUUUUAAGUAAAACUGUGCUUAAAUGUUACAUGUUUCCCCUUACCUUACUCCUCACUAUUGUCUGAUUUGCUAAAUAAUCUGUAUGGUUUUGCACAUGUACUGCAAAGUGAGGCCUGACUUUUUUCUGAAGGUGUGUUGGUGGGUUUCAUAGGUUUUAGCCUGCCAACCUCCUCUACAUUAUGCAUCACUCAACCACAGUCUUUGUUGUCUUUCUAGAGUGAUCUAAUGAUGCUUUUUAGUUAUACUUGAGAAAAUAAUUACUUUAUUUCAGGAGAAGCAGUAAUGAAUCUGCUAAUGUAUCUCAGCUUGACUUAGAAGGGGAUUUAACCUCCUUUUUCUCAUGGUAAAAGGUGUCCCACAUGUCAGGCUGGAGUUAUUUUAAAUGGGUUUUCCUGAAUAACAAAUAAACCCAUGAACAGGUUUGCUGUAACGUAAGUAUCUUGCAGAAUCCUCAGCCCCAUACCCCUUUCCUCUAUCAGCUAAAUGUACAAGCUUACCCUCUUUAUUUUAUUUUUUUUUAACUUCAAACACUGUAGUAAUACAUAUUGUGCGCAUAAACCUUCUGUUGAACAUAGGGGUAUUUUUGUUUUGUUUUUGCAGCAUUCCUUGUUAGCAAACGUGGUUUCAAGUAUAAAAUAACGACCUGGAAGCGGGGGAAAAGUGGUUUGCCUAACCGUUUUUGGAGAUAGGCCACAGGACAGGUUGUCUUCGAGAAAAUAAAUAGUGAAACCCAAACUCUGAAACUGUGUGUGUGUGUGUGCUCUUCAGUGAAAAUGCUGUGUGGUUAAUCCUCCUGAGGUUCUAGUUGUGUAAUUUUUUUUCUAUUGACAUUCAAAUUCUUUUUUCUAUCGAAAUGUAAACUUGUAUUCAAAUUUAGAGAAGGUGCAAUCUUAUUAGCUAAAGGGGCCUUUUGUCCGCAUGCGCACUACGAAAAGUAAAAACGUUGCUUUGGGAAACUCGGAAAUGUGAACUUUUUGAUUCAAUGGCGUGGCACAUCCAAACUUAAUAAAUGUCUUGUAUUUUUAUCUAGAUAUUAGUAGGCUACUUAAUUUUAGGUGUAAAUUUGUUUUUUAAACAGGCUAGAUCAGAUUUUUUAAAAAACCAUACAAUCUACACGUGACUGUGCAAAUCAUUGUUGCAUAAAGGCUGCCUUAAAGCAGAAAAAUAUAAAACUGGACAUGAUGUAACAUUUUUACACAAAUGACCGCUGUUGCAUUGUGGGAUAACGAUAGUUUCGACUUUACGCAAUGUACCUGAAGGCAUCAGGAGAAGAAACAGGAAAUGAAAGCUUUAUGUGCUGAGUUAUCGCCGAACAGAGGUUUGUGGAGCAAUUUGAACCAGAGGAAGUCUGCUGAGCCAAGACAAACAGGUCAAUCAAGUUUUCUCAGUAGCUCGAGGCAGUCUAGACAACCCUACCUGGAGGCUUCCAAAGCCUAUGACCCCCCCCCCCCCCCCCCCCCCUCUCAUCCAGUGAAGGAGCUUCAAAUGUGUAAAUCCACAAAUGUUCAGUGUUAAUAU